rnacentral:rRNA from 1 species
GUCAGUUGUAGCGCAGUCGACGGUACAGGAAGCAGCUUGCUUCUUUGCUGACGAGUGGCGGACGGGUGAGUAAUGUCUGGGAAACUGCCUGAUGGAGGGGGAUAACUACUGGAAACGGUAGCUAAUACCGCAUAACGUCGCAAGACCAAAGAGGGGGACCUUCGGGCCUCUUGCCAUCGGAUGUGCCCAGAUGGGAUUAGCUAGUAGGUGGGGUAACGGCUCACCUAGGCGACGAUCCCUAGCUGGUCUGAGAGGAUGACCAGCCACACUGGAACUGAGACACGGUCCAGACUCCUACGGGAGGCAGCAGUGGGAC